rnacentral:misc_RNA from 1 species
AUGAAGAACGUAGCGAAAUGCGAUAAGUAAUGUGAAUUGCAGAAUUCAGUGAAUCAUCGAAUCUUUGAACGCACAUUGCGCCCCCCAGUAUUCUGGCGGGCAUGCCUGUUCGAGCGUCAUUUCAACCAUCAAGCCCUGCUUGUGUUGGGGUCCUGCGGCUGCCCGCAGGCCCUGAAAACCAGUGGCGGGCUCGCUAGUCACACCGAGCGCAGUAGCACAUCUCGCUCAGGGCGUGCGGCGGGCUCCAGCCGUUAAAGCACCCACCUUUCGCAAGGUUGACCUCGGAUCAGGUAGGAAUACCCGCUGAACUUAAGCAUAUCAAUAAGCGGAGGA